GAUGAAGAACGCUGUGAAAUGCGAUACGUAAUGUGAAUUGCAGAAUUCAGUGAAUCAUCGAAUCUUUGAACGCACAUUGCGCCCGCUGGAAUUCCAGCGGGCAUGCCUGUUCGAGCGCCAUUUCACCCCUCAAGCUUUGCUUGGUGUUGGGGCACUACCAGUAAAACGGUAGGCCCUGAAAUUCAGUGGCGGGCUCGCUAAGACUCUGAGCGUAGUAGUUUACCACCUCGCUUUGGAAGGAUUAGCGGUGCUCUUGCCGUAAAACCCCCAACUUUUGAAAAUUUGACCUCGGAUCAGGUAGGAAUACCCGCUGAACUUAAGCAUAUCAAUAAGCGGAGGA
rnacentral:misc_RNA from 1 species